rnacentral:rRNA from 1 species
UGGGGAAUUUUGGACAAUGGGCGAAAGCCUGAUCCAGCCAUGCCGCGUGAGUGAAGAAGGCCUUCGGGUUGUAAAGCUCUUUUAGUCGGAAAGAAAGAGUUGCAAUGAAUAAUUGUGAUUUAUGACGGUACCGACAGAAAAAGCACCGGCUAACUACGUGCCAGCAGCCGCGGUAAUACGUAGGGUGCGAGCGUUAAUCGGAAUUACUGGGCGUAAAGGGUGCGCAGGCGGUCUUGCAAGUCAGAUGUGAAAGCCCCGGGCUUAACCUGGGAAUUGCGUUUGAAACUACAAGGCUAGAGUGCAGCAGAGGGGAGUGGAAUUCCAUGUGUGGCAGUGAAAUGCGUAGAGAUGUGGAAGAACACCGAUGGCGAAGGCAGCUCCCUGGGUUGACACUGACGCUCAUGCACGAAAGCGUGGGGAGCAAAC